CUUCGGCGGCGUAAUGAAAAUAUUGAAAAUUACCACUUAAAUUGACUAAUUCAAGAAUUGAAAGCAUGUGAAUUACAGUACAAAAACAGGACAGCCGCUGGCGAGGUCUGCUGCUUGGUAGGAGAGUUGAAUGGCACGCAAAUAAGCGAACUGUGUGGAACGAUGCACUUUGGUGGUCCACAUCAAUGUGCAGUUCGAGGAGUCCGAGAAGGAGAGCGACAUAGAGCAAAAAAUGCACAUUAAUUACAGAUAAUUUAGCCAAUGAAGAAGCUGGCAGCAAUGCGAAGAAAGAACGCAACCAUCAGCCCCUGGAAGUCGAUGUCUACGGCACGAGAGUUACAGGGAUGCCAUGAUUGCGCAGGGAAAGUCGGCCUAUGCACUUUCAGGAUGAAGUGAGCUUUCCUUUUAUAAAAUUGAGUAAAACAGAUGCCCCAGCCGUACCCUGCAGCCCUUGAUGGAUUCAAAUGAUACAAGAGACUCCCGCUAGCGAUGAGACAUGGCUCGUCCUGAUCCGACAGAAAACAGCAGAGCUAUAGCGUUGUCAAAAAUGUUUUAAACAAAAUGUUAAAAUGUCAUUAUCCUUAAUGUCCUUGCAUCGAAAGUGAUUGCAAACGACGCAAGGCAUUGUCUCAAUCACAAGAAGGCGCGGCAUGUUUUUAUCGGCCUUCAAAUAAAGUA